GAUACUGUCCGGAUUGGAGACUUCAAUUGAUUCUCCAAUGUAGAGUCAAAGUGACUAGAAUCCGAGGGCAUGUUCAAGUCAAGAGUCCAAAGCAGUCAGGUACUUCGGUCGUAGUGAUGGUGUUUUAGAUGUGCGAGUGGGAUAUUAUGACCGAAGCUUGCCGCGACGGUCGUAAUUGCGGGACCAUGGGCGUCCUCUAUUUUAUGAGUUUUGUUGAUGGCUUGUGACACCUGUGUCACUUGUUAUUGUAUAAAUCCAUUUCUAUUAUGUAUUUAUAUUGAGAAAAGACUUAAACACAUAGACGUUAAAUGACACUUGUUGUUAUUAAUUUAUGAUAGAUAUUUAAGAUGUGAUUUCCGCUAUUA